rnacentral:rRNA from 1 species
GACGAACGCUGGCGGCGUGCCUAACACAUGCAAGUCGAACGAAAAGGUCCGGCUUGCAGGGUCCUCGAUUGGCGAACGGGUGAGUAACACGUGGGGGAUCGGCCCUGCUCUCCGGGAUAAGUCCGGGAAACGGGGACUAACUCCGGACAGAAGCCAUAUUGCGUGUGGUUGUUGGAGAGUUUGUUUGGUUUGGGAUGAGGGUGCGGCCGAUCAGCGUGGUGGAGGGGUAAUGGGCUAGCAAGGAUGCGACGGGUAACCGGCCUGAGAGGGUGGCCAGGCACAUUGGGACUGGGAUUCGGCCCAGACUCCUACGGGAGGGAGAAGUAGGGAAUGUUGAACUAUGGGCGCAAGCCUGAGGCAGCGACGCCGCGUGCGGGAUGACGGCCUACGGGUUGGAAACGCCUUUCGCUAGGGACGAAGCUGUUAGUGACGGUACCUAGAUAAGAAGCACCGGCUAACUACGUG